UAAAAAAGGAAAUUAGGAGCGAAAACACACACUUCCUUUUUGGCAUUUUGAGAAAAAAAAUUAACUAACUGUAUAUUCUAAAUGACACCACUACGACUGAACACUAUUACUUUGACUGAAGGAGUAUAAAUAUUGAUAACAAAUAACAUUUACAAUGUUACAUAGACCUAAUAAUAUUGUGGAUAACGAAUUGGCCGGACUUGGAAAAACGGGACAAAAUGCGUCCCGUAUUACUUUUAUCCGGACAACGGGACACAAAGUUGAAAUACGGGACAAUCCCGUAUAAUACGGGACGUAUGGUCACCCUAGCAUAGGCAAUAUUUAAAGUGCGUGCGUGAGUCAUUUGUGACUGUGUGCGUAGUAAAUGAUUAUUAGUAUGUGUACGGGUCUCCGUCCUACACCAGGUACUACCCACU